rnacentral:lncRNA from 1 species
CUUUCUGAAAAUUUCAUUUUCCUUUAUUAAAUGAAAUAUUAAGGUUUUGUUGCCUUAAUUAAUCUGAAAGUGUUUACUUAACUUUUAUGCCAAGUAUCUAAUUUUACUAUAUAUGCGUUUCUUCAGAAUUCUCCUAUUAAUGAAAAUUAGUAUAUGUACCUGCGCGAUGCACGGAUUAGUUCAAAGGAAAAAAGAGCUGAGAGAGAUAAUAGAAAAAGAAGUAUAUAUAGCAUUAGCCACGGGAAAGACCAAAGUCCUCUCCAUUGUUGCAUCAAUUAAAAGCGUAUUAUUUUUGCCUUUAAGAGUACGUUUCGAACAUUUAUGCAUAAUCUUUUCUUCCAUAUUCUUGAUAAUAGUAUAUUGCAUAGACGCUCCAGAUCAUACGUUGUCGUCUAAUAUUCUUGACUUGCAUAAAACUAACAGUAUCAUAUCCUUGACUUGCAUAAAACUAACAGUACCAUAAUGAUUCUGAAAAAUUACAUGAGAAAUUCACUCGUUUCUUUUUUGGUUCUUUUGCCUAAUUGAAAGAAAACUUCCUAGUUCUCUUCGAGAUAUUUAAUUUAAAAAAGAAUGAAAAGCUCCUAAGAACAUGUAAGAUUAAUUUUUACCAAUAGCCAUGAGACCAAGAAGAAAAGAAAGAGAGCUUACUGACCAAAUAUUUUCCACUUUAUAUCAAGUAAGCAAGCUAGCUCAAUUGUAGGGCCUUAAGGGUCUUCUCCAACAACCUUAAUUCUGCAUCUUGGAAUCUGAUAGGGAUUUAUGCUCAUGCACGCCUGAUCUGGCAUGACCCUUCUUCUGCACUGAAAACUUCAAUAUAUCUGGAGAACGAAAAAGAACUUAUGGGUGUUUGAUUUGGAAAUUAAAGGAGCAUUAAUUGAUAGCAUCCUAUAGCUUUAAUGUAAAUUAAAGGAACAUGUAUCCUUCUGUAGAAGAUUCUAAAACAUUAGUCAAAAUACUUAUGAACUUAUUCAACCUGUAAUAGUUGAGGCAAUAUGAUAGAAAGAAAUGGCAUAACCAUAAUUGUUACACUUUUGGCCCAAAGGUAUUGCCGUCAGAAGAAACCAAAAUAAGUAAAUUAUGUUAGUUUGAGAAAAUUGGGAAUACCAGAGAGGCUAAAUCAUCAGUUUCUCAUGUUUUUAAUUAACGCAAUCCAUAUAGUAUGACUUUAGUUUUUUUCUAUCACAUUAUUAUUUUAUCAUCAUUAUAAGUCGAGAUGAAUUAUUAGCUCAUAUAGAGCUAUUUCUAAAUAAACAUGUAUUUACAAAUGAAGCUCUUUAUGAUUUUCAUCACGAGUUAUAAGUAGGAAGAGAUUGAAUAUUGUAAUGAUGAUGGUGGAUAAAUAACAAAUGAAGUUAGAAAAUUAGUAAGUAAAGAUUUUUUUAGAUUCAUUUAUUUAUAAUUUAUUCGUUUUGAAUCAUCUUAUAUUUUCAUAUUAUUUGUAGCACGGCCUAUAUAAUUACAAUAUCUAAGUAUCAUUCAAAAGUUAUUUGAUAAUUGUAUGAGUUGUUUAUAUAAUUACAAUUAAAUAUUACCACAAUUAACAACUACACAAUGCAUCUUAUACAAAAGAAACAUGUUUCAAACCUGAUUGUGCCCUCUUAGAAUAAAGAAACAGAUAAUAAUUGACUAACCAUCCUUCUUACAAAAAUAGCAGCAAUUUAUCACAAAACACAAUCUUGUGAUACAAAUAUUAAUGCAGUUUAUUAAGUUUUAAUACAUCAUAUAUGUCUACUUACUACUGAAUAUAAACCCUUGAAUUCUAAUAAUCAAGUUCUUUAGUGUAUCCUUCGAAGAAUCCGGGUUUGACCAGAUCUAAAAUUUUAUGAUCAAAUAUAUCUAUCCACAUAUAUAAGUAAAAUAAGUGUCAUCUUAAAGGACAAAUUAAAAGUGAGCAUGUACUUACCUCGCAUUCCUUCUCUUCAUCUACGCCUUGAAUAGUAUUGAAGUCAGGAUCUUAACAAAUAUAAAAAUUACUGAGUUCGAAAAAGACUUAAAAUAAUAGACUUAACAAAAAUCUGCAACUUAACUACAUGUUUUUGCUAUUGAUUAUCCCAUGAAUAUGCACAUAGAAAUUAAAAAAAUACACGAAAUGCAAAACAAAAAAUUCAGAUUUGAAAAUAAAAAAACGUAGAAGCAAACGUGAUAUAUGUUGCAGUAUACCACUGAGAAACAUAUUUGAGGAUACAUAUGUUUAGUGCAUAAAUUCUUCAAUCGACUUUUGGUAUUGAUUAUCCCAUGAAUACACACAUGCAAAUUAAAAGACAGAGUUACCAAAACAAAGUUUUAAUACCUUUUCAUCUUGUAGAACCUAUUCAAUCGAGAAAGUAGUGUCUAAAUUGUAACGAUCUGGUUCUUCCGAAAUAUUGCAUUCUUGAAAUUUUUAUAGCCUUAAUUCAAUUUUUGCAGAAAUUGUACUGUUUCUUGAAUUUUUUAUAGCAGUGGAAGAUUUGAAUUUAAGAACACUAUCAAUCGGAGAAAUAGCAGUUGGGCGGAAGUUUGGUUUUGUGAGUUUCAUGUGCGUAUGUUUCAUGAGUUAUGCGUGGUCGAGCAACUGUCCAUUAUCCUUAGAUUGGGUUUUGUAGAGAAAAUUUAGGAAAAGUGGGUUUAAAAU